rnacentral:rRNA from 1 species
GACAGAGGAUGCAAGCGUUAUCCGGAAUGAUUGGGCGUAAAGCGUCUGUAGGUGGCUUUUAAGUCUGCCGUCAAAUCCCAGGGCUUAACCCUGGACAGGCGGUGGAAACUACCAAGCUGGAGUACGGUAGGGGCAGAGGGAAUUUCCGGUGGAGCGGUGAAAUGCGUAGAGAUCGGAAAGAAUACCAACGGCGAAAGCACUCUGCUGGGCCGACACUGACACUGAGAGACGAAAGCUAGGGGAGCGAAUGGG